UGUAGUUGGGAGGAGGCUGAGAACGAUCUGGCUGGAAGGACUCUGAGGCUCGCAGCUCAGGUGGGAAGGUGCUCCAUCUAUAUGGAAUGUCCAAAAUAGAUCGAUCGAUAGAGACCGAACGCAGUUUAGUGGUUGGCAAGGAAAAAAGACCUGAAAAACUUCAAAAGAAGAAUGGAAAACAUCUGUGUGCAGAACAGUGGAAUCAUAACACACCUGAAGAAGCUUAGCCACAUUUCCUUUUGACUCAUUUACAUCAAUUGAGGCCCUUUUAAAAAAUAUCAUUAAUUUUUGAUUGGUAAUUUUUAACUUACUAAAAGUGUUUCAAAUAUUCUGAAACAACUUCAAGCUUUACAAAAGCAGAGAUUUCCUUAAGAGUUGUCACUUGCCUGAAAUGCCUCUCCUGAUUUUGUUGAUGCCGUUCAAAUUCACCCUCGUAUUUCCAGGCUUCUCUGAAACUGGAACAGUCAAGGUCACAACUUAGAAAACUGUUACAGAAGAAACAAGAAUUUACUUGGGAGGACCGAGGAGAGGAAGUAGCUGGUUUUGACACCUUUCGAAUAUGGCCAUGCAAUAUGAACAAAAUACAAAGAAAGAAGAAUGAAAAGAGCCGAUAAAGAAAGAUACAUGUGUUGGUGAUGGUGAGGAAGUGACAGAGGAAAUGUAGGGCAUCAAGCACAUUUAUAUACAGAUAAAAUGUAAGGUAUCAAGAUGCAGACAAAGGUAAAUGCUGAGACUAUAAGACAUUGAAUACAACUGAUUAGAUCAUAA